CACCCCGUCUCCAGAUGACGGGCUUUGUCACAAGUGAGGGGCCGUCCCCUGCAUGAUUCCAGGGCCAACUGAUGAACCCCCAGGCCAUGGCACUGGAGGACUCCCGGAUUCUGCCACCUGGAUGAGCAUGGAGAGUCAGCCUUGGACCCCUAAGAGGCGAGAUGUGGAGUGGAGUGAGAUGCAGUGUGGCUUUCCUGCUGAGUCCCCUGUGUCCCUAGCCCGCCUCUGCCCUGAGUGAGGACUGAUCCUCUUUCCACAAGAGCAUGCCAGUCUUCUCUAACUGAGGUUUCCCUCAGGGCAAUUGCCAUGACUCCUGUGGCUCACAGCAGGCGGGUACCGGAUCCUCGGUGACCCCGAGACCCUUCUUCAAGGCAUGACAUUGCCUCAUAUCCCUUUCAUCCCUGGGAGGGCUUUAUUCCACUUGAACAGUUUGUGUGUGAAGUGCCACCGGCCAUGAACAGCCAUGCUGGUCCCCUUUUCUCUGUCAUCCUGUGACAGCAAGGCACAUCCAGUUUUUUCUUCAAGUGUGCGUAUGUCAGAAAACCUCCUUCGUCUCCUGUGGCCUGAAUAAAAGUCCUCCUCAAUGCCGGGCUCCAUUUUCUUGUGGGGACCUCACUGCGCUGAGGGACAGGGAGGGGGACAGGCAGGGAGGAGCUGCAGUCCACCCGUGGGCUCAAGCAG
rnacentral:lncRNA from 1 species